CCGCCGACGACCGGCGCACGGGUGCGUAACGCGUAUACAAUCUACCUUGUAGAGGGGAAUAGCCCAGAGAAAUUUGGAUUAAUGCCCCAUAGUAUUAUGAAAUAGCAUUAUUUUAUAAUUAAACAUUUAUGGCUACAAGAUGAGUAUGCGUUCUAUUAGUUAGUAGGUAAGGUAACGGCUUACCUAGACUUCGAUAGAUAGGGGUCCUGAGAGGGAGAUCCCCCACACUGGUACUGAGACACGGACCAGACUCCUACGGGAGGCAGCAGUGAGGAAUAUUGGACAAUGGGCGAGAGCCUGAUCCAGCCAUGCCGCGUGCAGGAAGACGGCCCUAUGGGUUGUAAACUGCUUUUAUAGAGGAAGAAACACCCCCUCGUGAGGGGGCUUGACGGUACUCUACGAAUAAGGAUCGGCUAACUCCGUGCCAGCAGCCGCGGUAAUACGGAGGAUCCAAGCGUUAUCCGGAAUCAUUGGGUUUAAAGGGUCCGUAGGCGGGACAAUCAGUCAGCGGUGAAAGUCUGUGGCUCAACCAUAGAAUUGCCAUUGAUACUGUUGUUCUUGAAUACUUAUGAAGUGGUUGGAAUAUGUAGUGUAGCGGU
rnacentral:rRNA from 1 species